rnacentral:rRNA from 1 species
GAAAGUAAAUAAGGGCGCAUGGCGGAUGCCUUGGCUCUCGGAGGCGAUGAAGGACGUGAUAAGCUGCGAUAAGCUUCGGGUAGGUGCAAAUGACCAUUGAUCCGAAGAUUUCCGAAUGGGACAACCCGGCAUUCUGAAGGAAUGUCAUCCAACUUGGUUGGAGGCUAACGCAGGGAACUGAAACAUCUUAGUACCUGCAGGAAAAGAAAAUAAAUAAUGAUUCCCCUAGUAGUGGCGAGCGAACGGGGAUUAGCCCAAACCACCCAUGUUACGGCAUGUGUGGGGUUGUAGGACCACGCUCUCGCAAGACAGUUAUUGAGAAGAAACGACUGGAAAGUCGUGCCAUAGACGGUGAUAGCCCGGUAUUCUAAGGUAACCGAAGCGUAGUGGUAUCCUGAGUAGCGCGGAGCACGAGGAAUUCUGCGUGAAUCAGCCGGGACCAUCCGGUAAGGCUAAAUACUCCCGAGAGACCGAUAGCGAACCAGUACUGUGAAGGAAAGGUGAAAAGCACUUCGAAUAGAAGAGUGAAAUAGUCCCUGAAACCAUGCGCCUACAAGCGGUCGGAGCAGCUUAAGUUGUGACGGCGUGCCUUUUGCAUAAUGAACCUACGAGUUACUUUUUCCGGCAAGGUUAAGCAUCUUGAGAUGUGGAUCCGAAGCGAAAGCGAGUCUGAACAGGGCGGAUAGUCGGAAGGAGUAGACGCGAAACCAAGUGAUCUACCCUUGGGCAGGUUGAAGGUUAGGUAACACUAACUGGAGGACCGAACCGAUAAGCGUUGAAAAGCUUCCGGAUGACCUGAGGGUGGGGGUGAAAGGCUAAUCAAACUUGGAGAUAGCUCGUACUCCCCGAAAUGCAUUUAGGUGCAGCCUUGAGAGUUACUAAUGUGAGGUAGAGCGACUGAUAAGAUGCGAGGGCUUCACCGCCUAUCAAGUCUUGAUAAACUCCGAAUGCGCAUUAGUUCUAUCUCAGGAGUGAGGGCAUGGGUGCUAAGGUCCAUGUCCUAAAGGAGAAGAAUCCAGACCAUCAGCUAAGGUCCCCAAAUAAACACUAAGUUGAACUAACGAAGUCAGAUUGCUAAGACAGCUAGGAUGUUGGCUUGGAAGCAGCCAUUCAUUUAAAGAGUGCGUAACAGCUCACUAGUCGAGGAGUUUGGCGUGGAUAAUAAUCGGGCAUAAGUGUUUUACCGAAGCUAUGGGAUACGUAAGUAUCGGUAGGGGAGCAUUCCACUCUGCGUUGAAGGCGAAGCGUGAGCUUUACUGGAGCGUGUGGAAAAGCAAAUGUAGGUAUAAGUAACGAUAAAGGGGGUGAGAAACCCCCUCGCCGCAAGACUAAGGUUUCCUGAUCAACGCUAAUCGGAUCAGGGUUAGUCGGGUCCUAAGGCUCAGCCGAACGGUGAGGCCGAUGGCAGAACAGGUUAAUAUUCCUGUACUACCUGUAAGAGUGAUGUGGAGACGGAGGAGUGACAACGCCGCGGACUGACGGAAUAGUCCGUUAAAGGGUGUAGAUGUUGAUUAUCCCAGGCAAAUCCGGGAUAAGAGUCGAACCUGAUAGUAUACCAAUUUCCUCGGAAAACGGUAAUAGUGCGUGUAAACAUACUCCCAAGAAAAUCCGCUAAACUUAAUCUUACAGGUACCCGUACCGUAAACGGACACACGUAGUCGGGUUGAAUAUACUCAGGCGCUUGAGUGAAUCACGGUUAAGGAACUAGGCAAAUUGACCCUGUAACUUCGGGAUAAAGGGUCCCUACCCGGUGACGGGAGGGCGCAGAGAAUAGGUCCAGGCAACUGUUUAACAAAAACACAGGGCUGUGCAAAAUUGAAAGAUCACGUAUACAGCCUGACACCUGCCCGGUGCUGGAAGGUUAAGAGGAGAUGUCAUCGCAAGAGAAGCAUUGAAUUGAAGCCCCAGUAAACGGCGGCCGUAACUAUAACGGUCCUAAGGUAGCGAAAUUCCUUGUC